ACGUUUAAAGCUGGACCGACGAUUGGGCAGCACAAUCAUUCCCCUACUCCCUGGGUGCUUAAUUGCAAUACAAUGUUCCAGGAACUAAAGAGGAGGGCUUCAGAGGAGAGUAUUCCUCUGAAUGCCAUAUAUGAGGAAGAAGCUGCCAGAUAUCCGGAUGCUGCAUCUCACCUGCUCUACGAGAGUGUGCUGCCAUCGAUGCGGAAGUGGAGGAGAAACUCACAGCCGGCUCAGCCACUCACCUUGGAGGAAUAUGCGGUGGCCUAAUAAGGCUUGUUAAGUCCUGUUCUUUUCGCCACUGUGUCGGUGGCGGAAGGAAAAGCUGUCAUAUUAGUCAUGCGCGGUUUCGAACGUUGCAUCGCUGACAGUGAAGUGCUAGUCAUCGAUGGAACAUUCCUGACUGUCCCAGCUGGAUUGUCAAUUUGCCAAAUUUUAACGGUACACAGUAUAAUUGCUGGACACAAUUUUCAUCCUGCUGUAGUCCUGAUGCAGAACCGUCCUCUGUAUGAGGCAGUUUUCCUUAGAAUUUGGCAAGCAGCUGGCAAUCCAAGACCACAACAAAUUAUAACAGAUUAGAGAGUGCAAACGAGCAGAUUGUUGGACGUAGGCGUUGAGGCUGUUGUAGAUAACGUCCCAGAAUUCGCUCAAGAAGUUGUCAUUGCAGACAACAUUGAGCAGGUAGCACCGGAGGUGGUCCAGGCUCCUAUUCUGGAACCCGCCGAUGUCCUGCCCGCGUCUCCCCCCCGCCACGAUAAUGAUCGCGAACCUCAACCCCUUCGUUGCAACAUCUGUGCGACUAACCCACUCGAAGUGGUGUUGAUCCCAUGCGGUCACACGCAAUGCCAAACUUGUCUGGACCGUUUGUUUGAAUUAAAUUAUGUAAUUUGCCCAGUCUGUCGCUCUAAUGUUCAAUUUUCGAAUCGAAUUUUUUUUAAGAAAUGAGGGGAGCGACUAGAUACUUGUAAUGGGUAUUGUAAAUAUAGCUUGUAAACCUUUUACAAGUAUGUUAGAGAUAAAUUUUAUUUUCAUUUAAUUUAAAUUAAUUAUUAAGAGAUACUAAACUCGGAUUCGAGAAUGGAAGUGAAUAGUC